GGAUCUCAGGAGGCGGUUUGAGUCGUCCAGUACAACAUCAACACUGAGGAGCUCUACGGCAUCCUGAAGGAGUUUGUUCACCUGCUGUACUUCCGGCAUCUGCUGGUGAAUCCUCGAGACCGGCGCGUGGUGAUCGUUGAAUCCAUCCUCUGUCCUUCACACUUCAGAGAGACGCUCUCCAGAGUCUUCUUUAAGCACUUUGAGGUGAAGUCAUGCUGCGUCUGU